CUUGUACUCCCUCCGUCCGAAAAUACUUGUCAUUGAAAUGGAUGUAUCUAUAUGUAUUUUAGUUCUAGACACAUCCAUUUUGAUGACAAGUAAUUCUGGACGGAGGGAGUACUUG
rnacentral:pre_miRNA from 1 species